AGAGUUUGAUCCUGGCUCAGGACGAACGCUGGCGGCGUGCUUAACACAUGCAAGUCUAAGGAGAAAGUUCCUUCGGGAGCGAGUAAACUGGCGAACGGGUGAGUAACGCGUAGGUAACCUACCCUUAAGCUCGGGAUAACCCACCGAAAGGUGAGCUAAUACCGGAUAAUAUCUUUCCUCAUAAGGGGUAAAGAUCAAAGGUGGCUUCGGCUAUCACUUAUGGAUGGGCCUGCGUCUGAUUAGCUAGUUGGUAGGGUAACGGCCUACCAAGGCAAUGAUCAGUAGCUGGUCUGAGAGGGCGAUCAGCCACAUUGGGACUGAGAUACGGCCCAGACUCCUACGGGAGGCAGCAGUGGGGAAUUUUGCGCAAUGAGCGAAAGCUUGACGCAGCAACGCCGCGUGAUCGAAGAAGCUCUGCGGAGUGUAAAGAUCUGUCAUAGGGGAAGAUAAGUUCCGUUAUUAACACCAUCGGGAUGUGACGGUACCCUAUAAGAAAGCCCCGGCUAACUUCGUGCCAGCAGCCGCGGUAAUACGAGGGGGGCAAGCGUUGUCCGGAUUUAUUGGGCGUAAAGAGUUCGUAGGCUGGUUGGUCAGUCGAAAUUGAAAUCCCACGGCUUAACCGUGGACCCGGUUUCGAUACUGCCAAUCUUGAGUGAGGUAGAGGUAAGCGGAAUUCCUGGUGUAGCGGUGAAAUGCGUAGAUAUCAGGAGGAACACCAAAGGCGAAGGCAGCUUACUGGACCUAUACUGACGCUGAGGAACGAAAGCGUGGGGAGCAAACAGGAUUAGAGACCCUGGUAGUCCACGCCGUAAACGAUGAGUACUUGGUGGUGGGGGAUUCGACCCCUUCACUGUCGGAGCUAACGCGUUAAGUACUC
rnacentral:rRNA from 1 species